rnacentral:tRNA from 1 species
GCCCCUGUGGCGCAGUUGGUUAGCGCAGCGGACUUUUAAUCCGAGGGUCGUGGGUUCGAGUCCCACCGGGGGCACCA